rnacentral:rRNA from 1 species
UGCAAGUCGAACGAGAAAUCUUUAGCUUGCUAGAGAAAGUAAAGUGGCGCACGGGUGAGUAACGCGUGGGUAAUCUGCCUCCGAAUCGGGGAUAACAUUGCGAAAGCGAUGCUAAUACCGGAUAAAAUCUGGUUGGCUUCGGUGAACCGGAUCAAAGGUGGUCUCUUUAUAAAAGCUACCGUUUGGAGAUGAGCUCGCGUACCAUUAGCUAGUUGGUGAGGUAAAGGCUCACCAAGGCGACGAUGGUUAGCUGGUCUGAGAGGAUGAUCAGCCACACCGGAACUGGAACACGGUCCGGACUCCUACGGGAGGCAGCAGUGAGGAAUUUUGCGCAAUGGGGGAAACCCUGACGCAGCAACGCCGCGUGAGUGAUGAAGGCUUUCGGGUCGUAAAGCUCUGUCAGGUGGGAAGAACCCACCAAGUGUUAAGACCACUUGGUGCUGACGGUACCACCUGAAGGAAGCACCGGCUAACUCCGUGCCAGCAGCCGCGGUAAUACGGGGGGUGCGAGCGUUAUUCGGAAUCAUUGGGCGUAAAGGGCGCGCAG